rnacentral:rRNA from 1 species
GUGACCUCAAAUCAGGUAGGACUACCCGCUGAACUUAAGCAUAUCAAUAAGCGGAGGAAAAGAAACUAACAAGGAUUCCCCUAGUAACUGCGAGUGAAGCGGGAAAAGCUCAAAUUUAAAAUCUGGCAGUCUUUUGGCUGUCCGAGUUGUAAUCUAGAGAAGUGUUAUCCGCGCUGGACCGUGUACAAGUCUCCUGGAAUGGAGCAUCAUAGAGGGUGAGAAUCCCGUCUUUGACAUGGACUGCCAGGGCUUUUGUGAUGCGCUCUCAAAGAGUCGAGUUGUUUGGGAAUGCAGCUCAAAAUGGGUGGUAAAUUCCAUCUAAAGCUAAAUAUUGGCGAGAGACCGAUAGCGAACAAGUACCGUGAGGGAAAGAUGAAAAGAACUUUGGAAAGAGAGUUAAACAGUACGUGAAAUUGCUGAAAGGGAAACGCUUGAAGUCAGUCGCGUCGUCCAGGGAUCAACCUCGCUUUUGCUUGGUGCACUUUCUGGUUUGACGGGUCAGCAUCAAUUUUGACCGUUGGAAAAAGGUCAAGGGAAUGUGGCAUCUUUGGAUGUGUUUAUAGCCCUUGGUCACAUACAAUGGUUUGGGAUUGAGGAACUCAGCACGCCGCAAGGCCGGGUGUCAUACCACGUACGUGCUAGGAUGCUGA